rnacentral:rRNA from 1 species
CUACACAUGCAAGUCGAACGAGAAAGUGGGGGCAACUCCAUGAGUAAAGUGGCAGACGGGUGAGUAACACGUGAACAACCUACCCUCGAGUGUGGAAUAACACCGCGAAAGCGGUGCUAAUACCGCAUAACAUCUUCGGGUCGCAUGAUCUGGAGAUCAAAAGCGCAAGUUGCUUGAGGAGGGGUUCGCGCCUGAUUAGCUAGUUGGUGAGGUAACGGCCCACCAAGGCAACGAUCAGUAGCCGGCCUGAGAGGGCGAACGGCCACACUGGAACUGAGACACGGUCCAGACUCCUACGGGAGGCAGCAGUGGGGAAUUUUGCGCAAUGGGCGAAAGCCUGACGCAGCAACGCCGCGUGGAGGAUGAAGGUCUUCGGAUCGUAAACUCCUGUCAGUGGGGACGAAUGCUUCGAAAGAAGUUUGACUGUACCCGCUGAGGAAGCCACGGCUAACUCCGUGCCAGCAGCCGCGGUAAUACGGAGGUGGCAAGCGUUGUUCGGAAUUACUGGGCGUAAAGGGCGCGUAGGCGGUUUUGCAAGUCAGAUGUGAAAGCCCCGGGCUUAACUCGGGAAUUGCAUCUGAAACUGCUUAACUUGAGUCCUGGAUGGGGUAGUGGAAUUCCCAGUGUAGCGGUGAAAUGCGUAGAUAUUGGGAGGAACACCUGCGGCGAAGGCGGCUACCUGGACAGUGACUGACGCUGAGGCGCGAAAGCUAGGGGAGCGAACGGGAUUAGAUACCCCGGUAGUCCUAGCUGUAAACGAUGGGCACUUGGUGUUGGGGGUAUUGAGUCCCUCGGUGCCGGAGCUAACACGUUAAGUGCCCCGCCUGGGGAGUACGGUCGCAAGACUG